UACGUAGGGUGCUAACGUUGUUCGGAAUCACUGGGCAUAAAGAGCGCGUAGGCGGUCUGAUAAGUCAGGUGUGAAAUCCCCCGGCUCAACCGGGGAACUGCACCUGAUACUGUUGGGCUUGAGUGCAGGAGGGGAGAGCGGAAUUCCUGGUGGAGCGGUGAAAUGCGUAGAUAUCAGGAGGAACGCCGGCGGCGAAAGCGGCUCUCUGGCCUGUUACUGACGCUGAGGCGCGAAAGCGUGGGGAGCGAACAGG
rnacentral:rRNA from 1 species